GAUUCCGUGAUGUGGCAAUCAGCCCUCUAGCUGUUGAACGGCAACAUCACGACUGUUAUGAUUUGAAUCAAGCAGAGCACAAAGCUGAGCUCCCGUUCGACACAGACACCAUCAUCAAUAACUGGUUAACUGGUUGGGGCUUAUUGGCGGGACAGAUGUACGAGACUGCACAUGGCAUUGAAGAGGGCGACUGACAACUCCCUGGCUUAAAACCUCAACUGGAUGGAAAAGACUUUAUUUGCCACCCUUCAACUCAGAGAGGUAGUGAUUGAUGCAGUUCGGAGAAGGUCCCUUACAGUUGUGGAGGGGACAAUGAAGAGGUGGCUCGAUCGAGAGGGUUGGUGCAAGAGACAACUCUAGCAAAAGAAAAGCAGUUAGUGUUAGCGCCUGUGUUUGUGUCUGCAAAGGAGAAUGUUUUGUUCUGUAAAAAGAGUGGUGGUGUUUUGGUUAAAUGUGUUUAACUUGUUUUAAUUACUUGGCUUGUGUGUGAGAGGUGUGUGUGCGGGUGGGUUGGUAUAUGGGAAUAGUGUAUAAUGACAUGUUUAAUAUGCUAUAAACAUGCUUUACAGGGACACAAUACCAAGUGAUACUUUUUCAUAGAUUAAAGACUUCCAACAGAUUUUUGUUAUGGUUGGGCUUAGGGACUGGGGUAAGUUAAGGCAAUAGAAUAUACAGUUUGUACAGUAUAAAAUGCAUUGUGUCUAUGUAAUUGUCCCGGUAAAUCACAUAUGCCAACCUGUGUGUGUGGUGUGUGUGUGAGAGAGAUUUUUUUUCUUUAAAUGUUAAUUAAUUUGUUUUACAUGUUCUCGCUGUAAUUGCUUAAGGGGAUAGUUCACCCCAAAAUUGCAAUUUUAUCAUAAAUCACUUCCCCUCUGUCGUUCUAAACCAACAAGUGCUUAGAUUGUCUUUAGAACACGUUUUUAGAUAUUUUUGAUGAAAACUGGGAGGCUUCUGUCCGUCCCAUUGAUUUCAGUUAGUUUUACAAUCCGUUUCACAGAAAAGAAUGAAAGACAUUGCCAAAAAGUUCAGUGUUCCAUCAGUAUUUCAAU